rnacentral:rRNA from 1 species
GAGGCUACACACGUGCUACAAUGGGCGAUACAGAGUGACGACGAAGCCGCGAGGUGGAGACAAAUCGCGGAAAAUCGCUCUCAGUUCGGAUUGGAGUCUGAAACCCGACUCCAUGAAGGUGGAAUCGCUAGUAAUCGCGCAUCAGCAUGGCGCGGUGAAUACGUUCCCGGGCCUU